rnacentral:rRNA from 1 species
UACGUAGGGGGCUAGCGUUGUCCUGAAUCAUUGGGCGUAAAGCGCGUGUAGGCGGUCCGGUAAGUCCGCUGUGAAAGUCGGGGGCUCAACCCUCGGAUGCCGGUGGAUACUGUCGGGCUUGAGUACGGAAGAGGCGAGUGGAAUUCCUGGUGUAGCGGUGAAAUGCGCAGAUAUCAGGAGGAACACCAAUUGCGAAGGCAGCUCGCUGGGACGUUACUGACGCUGAGACGCGAAAGCGUGGGGAGCAAACAGG